rnacentral:rRNA from 1 species
ACUCAAAUGAAUUGACGGGGGCCCGCACAAGCGGUGGAGCAUGUGGUUUAAUUCGACGCAACGCGCAGAACCUUACCAGCCCUUGACAUGGGGAGUAUGACCCGCAGAGACGUGGGUCUUCAGUUCGGCUGGCUCCCACACAGGUGCUGCAUGGCUGUCGUCAGCUCGUGUCGUGAGAUGUUGGGUUAAGUCCCGCAACGAGCGCAACCCUCGCCCUUAGUUGCCAUCGGUUCGGCCGGGCACUCUAAGGGAACCGCCGGUGACAAGCUGGAGGAAGGUGGGGAUGACGUCAAGUCCUCAUGGCCCUUACGGGCUGGGCUACACACGUGCUACAAUGGCGGUGACAGUGGGACGCGAAGGGGUGACCCGGAGCUAAUCCUGAAAAACCGUCUCAGUUCGGAUUGUUCUCUGCAACUCGAGAGCAUGAAGUCGGAAUCGCUAGUAAUCGUGGAUCAGCACGCCACGGUGAAUACGUUCCCGGGCCUUGUACACACCGCCCGU